rnacentral:misc_RNA from 1 species
UGGCUCUGGCAUCGAUGAAGAACGCAGCGAAACGCGAUAAGUAAUGUGAAUUGCAGAAUUUAGUGAAUCAUCGAAUCUUUGAACGCACAUUGCGCCCGCCAGUAUUCUGGCGGGCAUGCCUGUCCGAGCGUCAUUACAACCCUCAGGCCCCCGGGCCUGGUGUUGGGGAUCGGCGGAGCCCUCCGGGGCACACGCCGUCCCCCAAAUUCAGUGGCGGUCUCGCUGCAGCCUCCGUUGCGUAGUAGUAACAUCUCGCAACUGGAAGGCGGCGCGGCCACGCCGUAAAACCCCCAACUUCUGAAUGUUGACCUCGGAUCAGGUAGGAAUACCCGCUGA